rnacentral:rRNA from 1 species
GACGUAGGGCGCGAGCGUUGUCCGGAUUUAUUGGGCGUAAAGAGCUCGUAGGCGGCUUGUCGCGUCGUCCGUGAAAACUUGGGGCUCAACCCCAAGCUUGCGGUCGAUACGGGCAGGCUAGAGUUCGGUAGGGGAGACUGGAAUUCCUGGUGUAGCGGUGAAAUGACGCAGAUAUCAGGAGGAACACCGGUGGCGAAGGCGGGUCUCUGGGCCGAUACUGACGCUGAGGAGCGAAAGCGUGGGUAGCGAACAGG